rnacentral:lncRNA from 12 species
AUGAAUAGAAAGGGACCCCAGAUUGAAAAUGACCUGGAAGUGGAGGGUCACCUUCUCCACAGAAACACAGAUGUAUGUCAGGUGAGAGUGGGGGCUUACACACGGGGGAUCUGGCUUUGUUUUGUACUGUUUGUGCUGAGGGAGAUGAUGCACUAUCCCUGCCUGAGGCUGUGGAGCUUCCAGAGGAGGCAGAGCAGAACCAUCACUAAGGAUAAAUUAGCAAUUCCUGGUAUUUGCAGGAGACCCAGGGGAGGACGGAUGGCAGCUGAACGGUUUUGGCAUCCAGAUUUUUCUCCUCUCCCUUACGCUAAGUGGAAAGAUCCACUGACUGGCAUCUGGAAGGGCCCUGACCCUGUCCUUUGCAAGGGGCGUGGGUUUGUCUGUAUUUUCCCCCAGGAUGAGGACACCCCGCGAUGGCUCCUGGAACGAUGGUGUCGACUCCUCGCCCCUACACUGGAGACUAGCCAGCCUGACGAUAAUUCACCCACAAAAAAGAAGAGACGUCUCCGGUCGUACCGUUGGGCCCGGAUAAGGAAACUGAUUAAUCAAGCGAUAAGCCUGGCCGAACAGACACAGCCUAAUGAGUCCUUACUUAGUAUCCUUCUUACUGUAUUAGCUAUUACAACCCCUCCUGUUGGUGAAGCCGCUGUAUAUCGGGCCUAUGUACCUGACUCACCUACUAUAAGGCCGGUUACUUGGGUUGAUCCUACUCCCCAAAUACACACCAAUAUGACAGAAUAUUUUAGAGGGAGUAGUUCUGAUGGCAUGAAGGUUGCAAACCAUUCUAUCAAUUGGAUGGGCCUGGCAGCUCAGGUACCCAUGUGUUUCCAAUUGCCACUAUGUAACCAAAAACCAGUUAAUGGUUGCUUGGUUGUUCAGCCAGUACCUCACAUAGUGACAUAUCUCUCAGAAAUGAAAAAGAAUGAAAACCCUCCAUCCCAACUUGACAUAAUGUUAGAAAGGUGGAUCUUUUGUGAGGUCACUGGUGACACCCCUCCCAGUGACCCUCAAUAAGGUAGGCACCCUCCCGGGUACCCCAAUUGUCCUCAAAAUUUAACCUAUGCUACUUAGUCCUAUUUGGACGGAGUGCCUUCAGAAGACACCUUUGGUCAUCUCUCCUCACGGCAUCCCUGAAUUUUCUAUCAUGGACUGGUCGAGAAUGACAAGAAAGGAGCCUCUGCGUUACAUUGCAUAUCCACCUGGUCGGCCAAUGCAUAAUAUGACUAUACCCGGAGGAGUUUUUUCCACCAUUGGAGAAAUGUACCACGCAGAACUCUGGAAAUUGGUCACCGCUAUGGGACCGGCCAAGAUGCAGAUGGCUAAGAAUGGCUGCACAAACACAAAGGACUCUAAUCUUACUAUACGGGCCUGUGUGCCUAGGCCAUUCCUAUUGGUGGUGGGAUAUGGAAUGACAAAUUUUUCCUUUAUACAAAAUAAUGGAGCUGAUAUGUUAUUUGAGCUAGAAUGUAAAAAUUGUGUAUUAACCAAUUGUUUGCCUGUGCACUUGCCCUCACCUCAAACAGGUCCUGUCACUGUCUUUUUAACUAUGCAACCGCCUUCUUUGCUAUUACCUGUUGAGAUUGAAGGCCCUUGGUAUGCUAAUUAUGGUUAUCAGUUUGCUGUGGAAAUGCAGCUACAAUUGAAAAGAUUGAAAUGCUUCCUUGGGCUGUUGAUGGCCGGUAUUACUGCCUUGGUUCCUCUUAUAGCUACUGCUGCUGCAGCCUCUGUGGCCUUAUCCCAGAGUAUACAAAUAGCACAAUAGGUUAACCACUUAGCAAAAAACAUCUCUUAUGCGCUGUCUACUCAGGAGCGUGUAGAUCAAAAGGUUCUCAGUCGUCUUGAUGGGCUUGAAGAGGCAGUAGAAUUUCUAGGGAAUCAACUAUCCCUGUUAAAAACCCAGAUGUCCUUGGUUUGCCAUGGCGGGUUUCAGCAUAUAUGUGUCACCCCUAUGAAAGCCACUAGUGUAACAUGGGGACAAGUUAAAAAACAUCUACAAGGAAUAUGGUUUCAUAGUAAUAUAAGUCUUGAUUUGUUAAAGUUGCAAAAGGAAAUUUCCAUUAUCAGUCAUUCUGAGAUAGGUAUGACAAACCCGGCUGAAAUGGUGGCUCAUAUCUUGGAUGGCCUGCAUGGAUUUAAUCCAGGCAACUUAUUAAGAUAUUCAUUCUGGAUGUUUAUGAUCAUAUUUACUAUUGUGAUUAUUUCAUUCUUUGCAUGGUGUGUGGUUCAGGCCAAAGCAAGACAGCACAGAUUCAACAUGGAUGCUCAAUUACAUUUCCUCAAUUUUAAAACAAAAAAGGGAGAAAUGUGGGCGACCACGAACUAGCUGGAGUAACUGAACCAAACCAGGCCCGGACUUGCGUCCCUCAUUCACUCAAAAGGCUCGAGAGCCUAAAGGGUGAAUAGUUGGUAGACGCUUGAGAAAGGGCUUGAGCAGUGGUUCUCAGGGCUUGCUCGUGCGUGAUCGCUCACAUAACACAAUAGAUAAAACUUAUUCUGACCUGGGCAUAAAUGUAAAUAAGGGUCUGUCUGUCCCUGCUAGUCUGUUUACCAUACCUAAUAUUCCUUUGAAGUAUGUACAUCUGGAGCAACAAGCUUAUCUAUUUACCAAGGUCUUCUGGCACCCAUGAGUCUGUCUUGCAUGCUGAGAAAAGGGAAUUUUGGAGAGUUUCACAAACCUGCUAAAAAUAAACACCUUCUUGGCUUUGUUUUGCUCA